UACGUAGGGGGGCUAGCGUUGUCCGGAAUCAUUGGGCGUAAAGCGCGCGUAGGCGGCCCGGUAAGUCUGCUGUGAAAGUCAAAGGCUCAACCUUUGAAUGUCAGCGGAUACUGCCGGGCUAGAGUCCGGAAGAGGCGAGUGGAAUUCCUGGUGUAGCGGUGAAAUGCGCAGAGUAUCGGGAGGAACACCAGUGGCGAAGGCGGAACUCUGGGCCGGAACUGACGCGUGAGGAGCGAAAGCGUGGGGAGCGAACAGG
rnacentral:rRNA from 1 species